AGGCGGCCGGAGACGGUCCCGCCGGUCGCUCCGGCGCACCGGCGCGAGGGCCCCUAUCCCCGCCCACGCGCGGGCGGCCCUCACCGGCCUCAGCCUUCGGUGUAGCUGCGACCACGCGGAACUCCCUCUCCUGCAUUUUUUUCGGCCCCACUUGGAGUUUGCUUCCGCGGGACUUUUAAGAGGGAGUCACUGUUGCCGUCGCUCAGCAAUACUUCUUCCUCCUCCUGUUUGUUUUUGCUUUUGCUUUUGUCUUCUUGUGCUUCCCCCUCCGCCCCCCGCCUUCUUCUGGAGAUGGAGUCUCGCUCCGUCGCCCGGGCUGGAGCUGGAGUUGAGAGUGCAGUGGUGCCUUCUCGGCCUCACUGUUGCCGCUGACUCUGCCCCCAGGGUUCGACCGACCAGCUAUUUUUGUCUCGAGUAAAGACGGAAUGUCACCAUGUUGGCCAGGCUGAUCUCGAACUCCUGACCUCGGGGGGACACGCACGCACGCGCACACACACACACACACACACACACACACACACACACACACACACGUAGUGAUGAAACUAUAUUUCCAUAUUAUAAAUACUAAUUUUAAUAUAUGAAUAUGUAUUAAAACCCCAUUUCAUUUACAUAUAAAUGGAUAUGUAUUUCCUUCUUUCGUUAUUUAUUAUUUUUUAUAUUUACUUUGGUUUAUUUUUUGUCUUUUCUUCAUUGGCCUGCCUGAUCUUCUCACUCUGGGCUCUGGUGACCUCAGCCUCCCCAGUAGCUAGGACUACGGGGAUCUCUUAAGCCCGGGAGGCAGAGGCUAACGUGGGCUGCGAUCGCGCACUUCCACUCCAGCUUACGUGAGGAUCACCCCAGCCUCCACGCUUUGGACCGACCGAGAAGAGGUCGUCCUGCCUCUGAUCCCUCCCAUCCCCAUUACCUGGGACUACAGGCACGCACCACCACACCGGUUGACUUUUAUGUUGUUUCUCAUGUUUUCCGUAGGUAGGUAGCUGUGUAUGUAGGUAUGUGAGCGAGAUGGGGUUCGGGGUUCUAUCAGGUUGCCCAGGCCGAUCUCGAACUCCUGUUCUCAAGCAAUCCGCCUGCCUGCCUCGGCCGCCCACACUGCUGCUAUUACAGGCGUGAGACACUGCACCUGGCUCAUUCUAUAUUUGCCUGCGUGCCCGCCUGCCUGCCUGCCUGCCUAUCAGUCCUCUUCUUUUUAGUACGGAUGUACUCUCGCUUUGUUGUCCACGCUCUGGGCACAUAGAAUCUCUUUUUAAACUUCUGUGAUUAUUAUUAUUGCAGGUGUCUUCUCACAUGUCGACGUGAUCUCAAACUGUUAGGCCCCAGCGAUCCUCCCACGUCGGCCUCCCAGAGUGCUGUGACGACACCUGUGAGUCACGACGCAGUGUCACUCUUGUCGCCCAGGGUGGAGUCCGAUGGCGCGAUCUCGGCUCACCGCAACCUCCGCCUCCUAGGUUCGACUGAUUCUCCUGCCUCAGCCUUCCCGGGUGACGGGAAUGCGCCAUCAUGCCCGGCUAAUUUUCCUAUUUUCGGUACACGCGGGGUCUCUCCAUCUUGGUCAGUCUCGUCUUCAACUUCCGACCGUUGGAGAAUUUUAACUUUCUUGGUGGUUGCUUCUCUUUUUUUUUUUUUUUUCGUUUUUCUUUUCUUUCCUUCUCCUCCCCCACCCCCACCCCCCAUGUUCUCCUCCUCCUCCUCCUCCUC